rnacentral:rRNA from 1 species
GACGAACGCUGGCGGCGUGGAUUAGGCAUGCAAGUCGAACGGUAGGAUACCUUCGGGUAUCUGAGAGUGGCGAACGGGUGAGUAACACGUAGGUGAUCUACCCUCAAGAUUGGGACAACCCAGGAAAACUUGGGCUAAUACCGGAUGUGAGCAACUUUUAGUUGUUUGAAAGGUGGCGUAAGCUGUCGCUUGGGGAUGAGCCUGCGUCCUAUUAGUUAGUUGGUGAGGUAACGGCUCACCUAGGCAAUGAUAGGUAGGCGGCCUUAACGGGUGGUCGCCCACACUGGGAUUGAGAUACGGCCCAGACUCCUACGGGAGGCAGCAGUCGAGAAUAGUCUACAAUGGCCGGAAGACUGAUAGUGCGACGCCGCGUGAACGAUGAAUCCCUUCGGGUGUAAAGUUCUUUUAUAUGUGAGCAGUGCUUCUUAUAUUAACAGUAUGGGGAGAGAGAUAUUAGCAUAUGAAUAAGCAACGGCUAACUCCGUGCCAGCAGCCGCGGUAAA